rnacentral:rRNA from 1 species
UCGAUGAAGAACGCAGCGAAAUGCGAUAAGUAAUGCGAAUUGCAGAAUUCAGUGAGUCAUCGAAUCUUUGAACGCACAUUGCGCCCUGUGGUAUUCCGCAGGGCAUGCCUGUUCGAGCGUCAUUUCAACCCUCAAGCUCUGCUUGGUGUUGGGCCACGCCCCCGCGGCCGGCCCCAAAGCCAGUGGCGGUACCGCCCGGCUCUAAGCGUAGUACACCUCUCGCUCUAGAGCCCGGCGGUUCCCUGCCAGAACCUACACUCUUAUGGUUGACCUCGGAUCAGGUAGGGAUACCCGCUGAACUUAA